GUGUCUGUAUGUGUCCCUAUGGGUCCCUCUGGGUCCCUAUGGGUCCCUAUGUGUCCCUUUGUGUCCCUAUGUGUCCCUAUGUGUCCCUAUGUGUCUCCAUGGGGUCCCUAUGCGUCUGUAUGUGUCCCUAUGUGUCCCUAUGUGUCUGCAUGUGUCCCUAUGGGUCCCUAUGGGUCUGUAUGGGUCCCUAUGGGUCCCUAUGGGUCGCUAUGGGUCGCUAUGGGUCGCUAUGGGUCCCCAUGUGUCGGUGUGUGUCCCCCCGGUGGCUGUGUGUCUCUAUGUGUCCCUAUGUGUCCCUAUGGGUCCCUACGUGUCCCUGUGUGUCUCUAUGUGUCCCUAUGUGUCCCUAUGUGUCCCUAUGGGUCUCUAUGUGUCCCUAUGUGUCCCUCUGUGUCCCUAUGGGUCUCUAUGGGUCUCUAUGUGUUUCUAUGGGUCUCUAUGUGUCUCUAUGGGGUCUCUA
ensembl:lncRNA